rnacentral:pre_miRNA from 1 species
GGGCUAAUGAGGGCAUAGGCUGGGGCAGGGUGGACCCCUGGCAACUCUGCCUCAUCCUUCCCCAGUGGCCC